UUGGUUGACUGUCAGAAAAAAAAAAAAAAAAAAAGAUGAAGAAAUCAAGAUGGUGAGUGCUGACACUUUAGACACAGGACCUGGAAGUUUCCUGCCUGAAGACAAGCUCUCACAGUAGCAGAAGGAGUUAUGCAAGCCGUCAAGAGAGAAAAGCAACCAAUAGCCCUACCCAGCCGGGGAGCCACAACAAUGAUCACAUGGUACGAUAUUCUGAAAAGUGUAACAGUGCCACUUACAUCCUGGGGGUGACCAACAGCCGCCUAAUUGGAUUUAAGGCCUGAUUAAUGGAAGGAAUUCACGCCUGACACUUUAAACAGCCUAUACUACCCAUGGCGCUGAGGCCAUGGGACCUGGAGGAGAAUCUACUACUGCAACUUCCUUACAUCAGUGUAAUUUCAAACUGCAUGCUGACUACUGAUCCUUAGACUCACAGUUGGUGGCACUAUUUUGAGAGCUGUGAGAAAUUGAGGCGGUGGAGCCUAGCUACAAGAAGGAGCCCCUCCGGCUGUGUCUUGUCCUAUCCAUUUCCUGCUGUCUUUCCACUCUUCUUGUCUGCCAUGGAGUGAGCCACCUCUCCUUCCGUGGGGUCCUGCUGCCCUGAUCUUCUGUCCAAGUUCAUGGAGCAAGGCCUAGGCACCGAGGACCAGAGACAUCCGAUAGCUUCUACCAGAUCCAAUAUCCUGCAGUUGAUACAUGGAGAAGCCAAGACCCGACCUCACAAAGAGAGACAGCGACUAUUCCAGAAAUGGCAGAUUGGCUUCGUCGUGUGUGCAAACUCUGAUCGCAUUGCCAUGGCUGCCUGGAGCAAGGGGUUGAAGAAGAACCAGCUUCAG